CUGGCUUUGGGAAAAGUAAUGAUUCAAAAUUCUUCACCAGUUUCACAUACAAUGCAAAUCAAGAUUUUGUCAGAUACUUGAUGCAGUGUUUCCUGCUUCCAAAUUCUUGCUUCAUUUUUGAAACUCAUCUCUCCAUUCUGACAAUGAAUCCCCCUUGUGGUAUCUCCCGCAAAGGGAUGUCUUACAUGCAUUAUUCAAGUCUUUAGCCCCCCUCGUCGCAGAUGUUGCAAAUCAACCAACAAAUCACCAAGAUAAGAUUUUUGGCCUUUUAUUCAGGACCACAGGUUGAUGUACUUUGAGCUAUCUGUUAAUUUCAACUGCAGAUUGUCAAAUCGGGCACCACAUGUCGGUGAAUUGUUCAUUCAUCUUCAGUGGUCCUUCAUGGUUUAUUGAAGACAUAUGGAUCCACCAAAAUGAUCCAUAAACAAGCCACUUAACAAAUUAACAAAAAUCUUCGCAACUUGGCUACAUAGAAUUUACUCUGAACAGAGGAUUUUGUUUACCUUAGCUGACACCAAGAAUAAGAUCCAAAGUGGACAGCAAGAAGAACAAGCCAACUCAUAUUACAACCCCACACCAAAAUAUCAGCCAGACGGUUGUCAAUAAUGCCUUCCACUCAUGCAAUAGAAGAAAAGCUGUCUCCCAUGUCUUGUAGCAAUACAUGAUGCUUGUUCACAUGAACAGGCAGUGCCUACCAUCACUACCAUGAUCCUCUAUUCUUCACAAGCCCUUUGAGCUUCUGCAUAACUAUUUGCAAUACUUGGUGAUGAAAGACUCGCUACUUCACACAAACGGAAGUUAAGCAAAUGACAUUUGCAUGAAAUAGGUUUACUGCCUCCUAAAC
rnacentral:lncRNA from 1 species